UCGCCAGAGGACGGGUCCGCGGUCCCCAUCAGCUAGUUGGUGAGGUAAUGGCUCACCAAGGCGAAGACGGGUAGCUGGUCUGAGAGGAUGAUCAGCCACACUGGAACUGAGACACGGUCCAGACUCCUACGGGAGGCAGCAGUGGGGAAUAUUGCGCAAUGGGCGAAAGCCUGACGCAGCCACGCCGCGUGAGCGAUGAAGGUCUUCGGAUCGUAAAGCUCUGUGGGGGGAGAAGAAGAAAGUCGGUGAAGAGCCGGCCCUGACGGUAUCCCCUUAGCAAGCACCGGCUAACUCCGUGCCAGCAGCCGCGGUAAUACGGAGGGUGCAAACGUUGCUCGGAAUCAUUGGGCGUAAAGCGCGCGUAGGCGGCUGAACAAGUUGGAUGUGAAAGCCCUGGGCUCAACCUAGGAUGUGCAUUCAAAACUGUUCGGCUUGAGUCUCGGAGGGGGUCAGAGAAUUCUCGGUGUAGAGGUGAAAUUCGUAGAUAUCGGGAGG
rnacentral:rRNA from 1 species